UACAGAGGUCUCAAGCGUUGUUCGGAUUCAUUGGGCGUAAAGGGUGUGUAGGUGGCGCGCUAAGUCGGGUGUGAAAUUUCGGAGCUUAACUCCGAAACUGCAUUCGAUACUGGCGUGCUUGAGGACUGGAGAGGAGACUGGAAUUUACGGUGUAGCAGUGAAAUGCGUAGAUAUCUGGAGGAACACCGGUGGCGAAGGCGGCAUCCUGGACCGGCAUUGACGCUGAGGAGCGAAAGCCAGGGGAGCAAACGGG
rnacentral:rRNA from 1 species